AGGACGAACGCUGGCGGCGUGCUUAACACAUGCAAGUCGAGCGGAAAGGCCUUUCGGGGUACUCGAGCGGCGAACGGGUGAGUAACACGUGAGUAAUCUGCCCAUCGCUUCAGGAUAGCCAUCGGAAACGGUGAUUAAUACUGGAUAUGACAUUCCUUCGCAUGUUGGGGUGUGGAAAGUUUUUUCGGCGGUGGAUGUGCUCGCGGCCUAUCAGCUUGUUGGUGGGGUAAUGGCCUACCAAGGCUUUGACGGGUAGCCGGCCUGAGAGGGUGACCGGCACACUGGGACUGAGACACGGCCCAG
rnacentral:rRNA from 1 species